rnacentral:rRNA from 1 species
CCGCACGGGUGAGUAACACGUAUCCAACCUGCCGUCUACUCUUGGCCAGCCUUCUGAAAGGAAGAUUAAUCCAGGAUGGCAUCAUGAGUUCACAUGUCCGCAUGAUUAAAGGUAUUUUCCGGUAGACGAUGGGGAUGCGUUCCAUUAGAUAGUAGGCGGGGUAACGGCCCACCUAGUCAACGAUGGAUAGGGGUUCUGAGAGGAAGGUCCCCCACAUUGGAACUGAGACGCGGUCCAA